GAUGAACGCUGGCGGCGUGCUUAACACAUGCAAGUCGAACGGGAAACCUUUUAUUGAAGCUUCGGCAGAUUUAGCUGGUUUCUAGUGGCGGACGGGUGAGUAACGCGUGGGUAACCUGCCUUAUACAGGGGGAUAACAAUCAGAAAUGGCUGCUAAUACCGCAUAAGCGCACAGAGCUGCAUGGCUCAGUGUGAAAAACUCCGGUGGUAUAAGAUGGACCCGCGUUGGAUUAGCUGGUUGGUGGGGUAACGGCCCACCAAGGCGACGAUCCAUAGCCGGCCUGAGAGGGUGAACGGCCACAUUGGGACUGAGACACGGCCCAGACUCCUACGGGAGGCAGCAGUGGGGAAUAUUGCACAAUGGGGGAAACCCUGAUGCAGCGACGCCGCGUGAAGGAAGAAGUAUCUCGGUAUGUAAACUUCUAUCAGCAGGGAAGAUAAUGACGGUACCUGACUAAGAAGCCCCGGCUAACUACGUG
rnacentral:rRNA from 1 species